rnacentral:rRNA from 1 species
GGGCCCGCACAAGCGGUGGAGUAUGUGGUUUAAUUCGAUGCAACGCGAAGAACCUUACCAGGGUUUGACAUCCUGCGAAUCUCUUGGAAACAGGAGAGUGCCUUCGGGAACGCAGUGACAGGUGGUGCAUGGCUGUCGUCAGCUCGUGUCGUGAGAUGUUGGGUUAAGUCCCGUAACGAGCGCAACCCCUGUUGUUAGUUGCCAGCGAGUAAUGUCGGGAACUCUAGCAAGACUGCCAGUGCAAACUGUGAGGAAGGUGGGGAUGACGUCAAAUCAUCACGGCCCUUACGUCCUGGGCUACACACGUGCUACAAUGGUAGGUACAGAGAGCAGCCAAUGCGCGAGCAUGAGCAAAUCCCAUAAACCGUGGCUCAGUUCAGAUCGUAGGCUGCAACUCGCCUACGUGAAGGCGGAAUCGCUAGUAAUCG